rnacentral:ncRNA from 2 species
GGAGCAGGCCAGAUGAUCGCCGGCUGCCUUCGGGCGGCCGGAGGAAAGUCCGAGCUCCACAGGGCAGGGUGCUGGGUAAUCCCCAGCGGGGGCAACCCCAGGGAAAGUGCCACAGAGACCAGACCGCCGUGGUACGUCCACGGUAAGGGUGAAAAGGUGAGGUAAGAGCUCACCAGCGGCAGUGGCGACAUUGCCGGCUUGGAAAACCC